AAGACUAUAGCUUCAAGAAUCAUUUCUGUAGUUCGUUACCAGAGAACUUUCACUGACUGUAUAGGGUACUGACAACCAUGAGGGACAGCACAGUGUUCUAUCCUAAGCAUGAAGUUGGCUCUAGGUGUUGCUUUUCUGCAACUGCUUAUUGCCAUUGAUGAUCAUUCUUCUCUUCCUUUCUGGAAAAGUAAGAGGGAGAGAACUCAGUCUGAGUGGU